rnacentral:rRNA from 1 species
GCCUACGGGAGGCAGCAGUGAGGAAUAUUGGUCAAUGGCCGGAAGGCUGAACCAGCCAAGCCGCGUGAAGGACGAAGGUGCCAAGCAUUGUAAACUUCUUUUGUCAAGGGACAAAAUCAGGCUCGAGAGCCUGACCGAGGGUACUUGAAGAAAAAGCAUCGGCUAACUACGUGCCAGCAGCCGCGGUAAUACGUAGGGAGCAAGCGUUAUCCGGAUUUAUUGGGUGUAAAGGGUGCGUAGACGGGAAAACAAGUUAGUUGUGAAAUCCCUCAGCUUAACUGAGGAACUGCAACUAAAACUAUUUU